rnacentral:rRNA from 1 species
UUUUAAUUUAAAUAUUCAUAAAAAAAAAUUAAUUUAUUUUAGUAAUUUAAAAGAAAUAAUAUAAUUUAUUAUAAAUAAACUUACAGAAAUGGAAGAUUAUUAAGUUUAAAAAAGAAAUAUUAUUUUUGUACCUUUUGUAUCAGGGUUAAUUAAAAUAAUUAUUAAUAUUUAUAUUUCCCGAACUUAAAUGAGCUAAUUAAAAAUUAAUUUUAAUGUAAAAUAAUUAUUUAAAAUUUUUAGUUAGAAAUGAAAUGUUAUUCGAAUUUAAAUAUAUCUGGUUUUUAAGAAAAUUAAUUUAAUUAGAAUAUAAUAUAAUUAAUUAGAUAAUUUUUUGUUUAAUUAAUAUUUUAUGGAAAUAUUUAACGGGAUAAGCUGUUAAUUAAAUUUUACAAGUUUUUAAAUUUAUAAUAGAAUUUAAAAUUGAAAUUUUUUAUUUUUUUUAAUAUUUUAUAAUUAACUAUUUUAAAAAUUAAUUUUUAAAAACUUUAAUUUUAUACUUAAUUAUAUAUUAUAAUAUAAAAAAUAAAUUAACAAUGAUUAAAUUAGUAAAUUAUAUUUAUAAAUAAGAUAAAUAAUAGAUUAUUUAAAGUAAUUAGGCAAAUUAGUUUUCAACUGUUUAUUAAAAACAUUUCUUUCUUUUAUUAUUUUAAGUAUAGCCUGCCCCCUGAAUAUUUAAAUGGCUGCAGUAUUAUGACUGUACAAAGGUAGCAUAAUAAUUAGUUUAUUAAUUAUAAGCUGGAAUGAAAGGCUGAAUGAAAAACUUUCUGUCUCUAUAUAAAUAAAUUGAAAUUUAUUUUUAAGUCAAAAAGCUUAAAUUUUUUAAAAAGACGAGAAGACCCUAUAGAGUUUAAUAAAAUUAAUAAUAAAAUUUAAUUGAAUAAUUAAUAUUUUAUGUUAAGUUUUAUUUUGUUGGGGUGACAAAAAAAUUUAAUAAACUUUAAUAUUAAUUAACAAAUUUAAUUGAAUAAUUGAUCCUUAUUUUUGAUUAUAAGAUAAAAUUACCUUAGGGAUAACAGCGUAAUUUUUCUUGAGAGUUCUAAUCAAUAGAAAAGAUUGCGACCUCGAUGUUGGAUUAAAGAAAAUUUUAAGUGAAAAAGCUUAAUAAUUAAGUCUGUUCGACUUUUAAAACUUUACAUGAUCUGAGUUUAAACCGGUGUAAGCCAGGUUGGUUUCUAUCUUUUAUAAAAACUUAUGUUUCAGUACGAAAGGACCAAGCAUCAAAAUCAAAGAUUUUAAAUUGAAUAAUAAU